rnacentral:rRNA from 1 species
AACCGGGCGUCCGGCUCGUCGGAGUCUGAGCGCACGAGUCGGUACCCGAAAGAUGGUGAACUAUGCCUGGCCAGGGCGAAGCCGGAGGAAACUCCGGUGGAGGCCCGAAGCGGUUCUGACGUGCAAAUCGAUCGUCGGAGCGGAGUAUAGGGGCGAAAGACUAAUCGAACCAUCUAGUAGCUGGUUCCCUCCGAAGUUUCCCUCAGGAUAGCUGGCAUUCGGGAUGYRAGUUAAUCAGUCUCUCCUCGUAGAGAGAAUGAAUAGAGGCCCUGGGGCCCUAGACGACCUCAACCUAUUAUCAAACUACUACGAGGUGCGUCGGCCGUCGUUCCUGCCGAUUCGAGGAAUCGGCCAGAGAGA